UACGUAGGGGGCAAGCGUUGUCCGGAUUUAUUGGGCGUAAAGAGCGUGUAGGCGGCUUGGUAGGUCUCGCGUCAAAACCUGAGGCUCAACCUCAGUUCGCGUGGGAAACCACCUAGCUAGAGUCCGGAAGAGGAGAACGGAAUUCCCAGUGUAGCGGUGAAAUGCGCAGAUAUCAGGAGGAACACCAAUGGCGAAGGCAGCUCGCUGGGACGUGACUGACGCUGAGACGCGAAAGCGUGGGGAGCAAACAGG
rnacentral:rRNA from 1 species